rnacentral:misc_RNA from 1 species
AAGUCGUAACAAGGUUUCCGUAGGUGAACCUGCGGAAGGAUCAUUAUCGUGGGGCUUCGGCCCCGUCGAGAUAGCACCCUUGCCUUUAUGAGUACCUUGGUUCCCCCCCCCGUACCUUCGGGGAGCGGGAGGGACCUCGUCCGUUUCCCUGUGGCGGCGAAAGCCCCUGGACCGCAAAACACGCUGUAACCACCUGCAACCGUCUGAUAAACAAACAAAAAAAAUCAAAACUUUCAACAACGGAUCUCUUGGUUCUG